rnacentral:rRNA from 1 species
CCUACGGGUUGCACCAGUAGGGAAUCUUCCACAAUGGGCGCAAGCCUGAUGGAGCAACGCCGCGUGUGUGAUGAAGGGUUUCGGCUCGUAAAACACUGUUAUAAGAGAAGAACGGCACUGAGAGUAACAGUUCAGUGUGUGACGGUAUCUUACCAGAAAGGAACGGCUAAAUACGUGCCAGCAGCCGCGGUAAUACGUAUGUUCCAAGCGUUAUCCGGAUUUAUUGGGCGUAAAGCGAGCGCAGACAGUUAUUUAAGUCUGAAGUGAAAGCCCUCAGCUCAACUGAGGAAUUGCUUUGGAAACUGGAUGACUUGAGUGCAGUAGAGGAAAGUGGAACUCCAUGUGUAGCGGUGAAAUGCGUAGAUAUAUGGAAGAACACCAGUGGCGAAGGCGGCUUUCUGGACUGUAACUGACGUUGGGGCUCGUAAGUGUGGGUAGCAAACAGGAUUAGAUACCCGAGUAGUC